rnacentral:rRNA from 1 species
UACAGAGGUCCCGAGCGUUGUUCGGAUUCACUGGGCGUAAAGGGCGCGUAGGUGGCGGGACAAGCGUGCGGUGAAAGCCUGGGGCUCAACCCCGGGUCGGCCGUGCGAACUGUUUUGCUUGAGCACUGUAGAGGCAGGCGGGAAUUCCGGGUGUAGCGGUGGAAUGCGUAGAGAUCCGGAAGAACACCGGUGGCGAAGGCGGCCUGCUGGGCAGUAGCUGACACUGAGGCGCGACAGCGUGGGGGAGCAAACAGGG